AGAGAGAGACAUGCGCGCAUAUCAAUAAGCGGAGGAAAAGAAACUAACAAGGAUUCCCUUAGUAACGGCGAGUGAAGCGGGAAGAGCUCAAAUUUGAAAUCUUCAAGGUUUUACCUUGACGAAUUGUAGUUUAAAGAAGUGUUUUCUGCUGAAGUUUUGGUAAAAGUUCUUUGGAAUAGGAUCAUCAUAGAGGGUGAGAAUCCCGUAUUUGACCAUUAUUUUCAGCUUUGUGAUACACUUUCAAAGAGUCGGAUUGUUUGGGAAUGCAGUCCAAAAUGGGUGGUAAAUUUCAUCUAAAGCUAAAUAUUGGCGAGAGACCGAUAGCGAACAAGUACCGUGAGGGAAAGAUGAAAAGAACUUUGAAAAGAGAGUUAAACAGUACGUGAAAUUGUCAAAAGGGAAGCGUUUGACACCAGUGUUGUUUUCUCGAAAAUCAAUUAAAAAUGGCUCGAUUUUGUAUUGUUGAGACCUUAAAAGCUCACUGUACAUUUUUCGUGUCCUUUUUUAAUGCACUUUUCGUUUAACAAGUCAACAUCAGUUUCUUUUGUUGUAAAAGGGUCAUUGGAAGGUGGCUUUCUUUUCGGAGAAAGUGUUUAUAGCCUUUGGCCUCUGCAAUCGGAGAGACUGAGGUCUGCAGCGUAGACUCUUCGGGGUUAGAUACAUUUGUGCUAAGUUAUAGCUUUUUAUAGACAACUUGUUGACUAUAAUUAGUCUUGUAGCUUACUCGCUUAUGCUAUUUUACCUACGCUUAGGAUGUUGAAGAUGUAGCACAUCAU
rnacentral:rRNA from 1 species